GGGCGAUUAGUUAAGUGGCAUAAUUUCGGUUUCCAAAACCGCGGUCGGGGGUUCGAUUCCCUCAUCGCCCG
rnacentral:tRNA from 1 species